rnacentral:rRNA from 1 species
GACGAACGUUGGCGGCGUGCUUAAUACAUGCAAGUCAACUGAAGCAGUGGUAGCAAUAUCGCUGUGGAGGUGGCGCACGGGUGAGUAACACGUAGGUAAUCUGCCUUCAGGUCUGGCAUAACUCCGGGAAACCGGGGCUAAUAGCAGAUGAUGCAGCGGCUCGAGAUCGAGACAGUUGUUAAAGCUAUGGCGCCUGAAGAUGAGCCUGCGUCUGAUUAGCUAGUUGGCGGGGUAACGGCCCACCAAGGCAACGAUCAGUAGCUGGUCUGAGAGGAUGAUCAGCCACACUGGAACUGAGACACGGUCCAGACUCCUACGGGAGGCAGCAGUAAGGAAUAUUGCUCAAUGGGAGAAAUCCUGAAGCAGCAACGCCGCGUGAGGGACGAAGGGCUUUUGCUUGUAAACCUCUGUAGUGAGAGAAAAAAAUCCCAAUCUUUGGGACAUGAUGGUAUCUCAAAAGUAAGCCCCGGCUAACUACGUGC